rnacentral:misc_RNA from 1 species
GAAAUGCGAUAAUUAAUGUGAAUUGCAGAAUUCAGUGAAUCAUCGAGUCUUUGAACGCACAUUGCGCCCCCUGGUAUUCCGGGGGCAUGCCUGUCCGAGCGUCAUUGCUGCCCUCAAGCACGGCUUGUGUGUUGGGCUUCCGUCCCUGGCAACGGGGACGGGCCCAAAAGGCAGUGGCGGCACCAUGUCUGGUCCUCGAGCGUAUGGGGCUUUGUCACCCGCUCCCGUAGGUCCAGCUGGCAGCUAGCCUCGCAACCAAUCUUUUUAACCAGGUUGACCUCGGAUCAGGUAGGGAUACCCGCUGAACUUAAGA